AUACACUGUUUUUCCAACAACUGUGAUGCUCAAUUAACUUAAUUUGUUCUGACAGCAAAUAAUGUAGAAAUCAAUAAAAGGACACUUCUGGCAGUGUAGUAAUAAAGACCAGCUUUAUUUUGUCAUUAUCAGAAUACGAGGCAGCCUAAUGGUUAGAGUGUAGAGGUGGCAGGGCAGCCUAGUGGUUAGAGUGUAGAGGUGGCAGGGUAGCCUAGUGGUUAGAGUGUAGAGGCGGCAGGGUAGCCUAGUGGUUAGAGUGUAGAGGCGGCAGGGUAGCCUAGUGGUUAGAGUGUAGAGGUGGCAGGGCAGCCUAGUGGUUAGAGUGUAGAGGUGGCAGGGUAGCCUAGUGGUUAGAGUGUAGAGGUGGCAGGGUAGCCUAGUGGUUAGAGUGUAGAGGUGGCAGGGUAGCCUAGUGGUUAGAGUGUAGAGGUGGCAGGGUAGCCUAGUGGUUAGAGUGUAGAGGUGGCAGGGUAGCCUAGUGGUUAG